GCGCGAAAUUACCAGAAACACAAUCCAAAUCAACUUUGUAGCACGCUGAACAAAAAUUGAACCACAAACCUAACAAUUCCACGGAUUUUCCCCUAAAUUAGCGGAUUGGGCUCUCUGCUCGUGUAGAAUUUCAAGAAAUUGUAGGAGCUCAUUCAUUUGAGUUAGCACCUGAUUUGUUGGGAUAAGCAAUGCAUGAGCCUAGACACUGAAGGUAUUGUUGAAGAGUACUUUCCAGUUUAUUAUACCAAUGAAUAAGCAGAGAAAGAAGGAAUUAUAUAUGUUUCUGUACAUGAAAGAAUCAGGUUCCUCUUUGUACCUAAUCUUUUCUUUCAUGUAGAAUUUUGGUAUAGUUAUUUGUUGCCCUUUACUCAAGAGGCUGAGAUUGAUGAACUUUGAUGGCUUCACCUCUCCCAAUUUUCAUGCUUCACAUUUCCACUUCUUUGAUCUCUGUAUAUGAACUCUGGAAUUGCAAGAAAUCCAGCUUUUAGCAGCCGAGGCAAUUCGAUUCAUAUUCUUCAGCUUGAGGUGUAAAUCCUUGUUUGCAGAAAGCUUCAACCAAUUCCUAGACCAAAUCUAGAAUUAUGAUAUUUGGCUGCUGGAACAAGCCAAGACCAGCAUGUCUUGAUCAUAGUUUUCUUUCAAUUCACAUAUCUGGCUGCUCUUUCCCUUCCAAGAAGUUCUCCCAACUUUCUGGAUCUUGAGCUGUUGGGUAAUUUUCCUUUCAAUACAUUUAUGCAGAUACACCUCCUUCGGCUACGAAAUCACUUGUCUUUACAUCAAUCUUACUUUUGCUUUCUUUUCUGAUCUUUCCUUCAAUAUAACUUUCCUUUCACUAUAUCGAUUAAUAAUAUACACUAAUCCACCCAACAUAUGCAUGACUGAACAAUUAUGAUCUUGUUUGAUCAUGUGAUCUUUCAAAUACUCAAUCUUAUGUAUUGUCAAUCUAAUCUAUCACCUGAUGCAAAGUGCAAACACCCUCUUAUAGGAUUGCUAAGAGGAAUAUAGCUAGGCUGCUAGUAGAACAGCUGUCAAUUCCUUCUAGCAACUUCGUCUUAUUAAGAUUGUUGGAAUAUCUUGCAUCAAUUUAGAGCAUCUCCAACCAUUUAAUCUAUGAAACUCUAAAAUAGAGUACGAGUUGAACAUCGAACAAUGUCCCACGUUUGCUGACACUCGACCCCUAGCGUGUGGUCGAGUGUCGUGCAACGCAGAACCUGCCAUGUGGAGUAGUUGAUGUUUCAUGCGGGCGUUGAAAGAAAAGGCGAGACCUAUGUCAUCUUCUCUUCUGCAACUGUUCUUCUACUUUUUUUUGUCACUUUAUUGAUUGGAAAUAGAUGAAAAUCUAUUACUUUUUGAGGUAUUGUGAUGUAUGAUUGCUUGAUAUUGGAGUGGGUUGCUUGUUAUCAUCAAA